GACGAACGCUGGCGGCGUGCCUAAUACAUGCAAGUCGAACGCACUCUCGUUUAGAUUGAAGGAGUUUGCUCCUGAUUGAUAAACAUUUGAGUGAGUGGCGGACGGGUGAGUAACACGUGGGUAACCUGCCCUAAAGUGGGGGAUAACAUUUGGAAACAGAUGCUAAUACCGCAUAAAACCUAACACCGCAUGGUGUAGGGUUGAAAGAUGGUUUCGGCUAUCACUUUAGGAUGGACCCGCGGUGCAUUAGUUAGUUGGUGAGGUAAAGGCUCACCAAGACCGUGAUGCAUAGCCGACCUGGGAGGGUAAUCGGCCACACUGGGACUGAGACACGGCCCAGACUCCUACGGGAGGCAGCAGUAGGGAAUCUUCCACAAUGGACGAAAGUCUGAUGGAGCAACGCCGCGUGAGUGAAGAAGGUUUUCGGAUCGUAAAACUCUGUUGUUGGAGAAGAAUGUAUCUGAUAGUAACUGAUCAGGUAGUGACGGUAUCCAACCAGAAAGCCACGGCUAACUACGUG
rnacentral:rRNA from 1 species